rnacentral:rRNA from 1 species
CCUACGGGAGGCAGCAGUGAGGAAUAUUGGUCAAUGGACGGGAGUCUGAACCAGCCAAGCCGCGUGAGGGAUGACUGUCCUGUGUAUUGUAAACCUCUUUUGUCUGGGAAUAAAGACUGGUAUGCGUCCCCGCUUGUGUGUACCUUAUGAAUAAGGAUCGGCUAACUCCGUGCCAGCAGCCGCGGUAAUACGGAGGAUGCGAGCGUUAUCCGGAUUUAUUGGGUUUAAAGGGGGCGGAGGUGGGUUGUUAAGUCAGUUGGUAAAGGUGGGGGCUCAACCGGAAACUCGCAUUUGAUACUGGCAGGCUCGAGUACAGUAGAGGUAGGCGGAAUGCGCGGUGUAGCGGUGAAAUGCAUAGAUAUCACGAAGAACUCCGAUUGCGAAGGCAGCAUAC